UUUCCUGUGUACAGUGCUAUUAGCUUAGCAACUAAAUACUUCUAUGUAAAAAUGGAGGGCAAUUCUAAAUAUGUGCCCAUGUUUCAGUGAAUCUUUUGAAAAGAUUUUGGCACCCAGACUUCAAUUGCAUGGUCCUGAUUGUGAUCUGACCCUCAUAUUCCUCUGGUAUACAUAUUGCUACCUUUUUCUAGAGAGAAUCUCAACAUUCUAGAGUGUCCUUGAAGAUACAAGUCCCUCGGGCUUCCCAAGCUACAAGAUUACGCAGCACACCAGUUUGUUUCGAAAUUGACCCUUUUGGAAAGGCUUUUGCACCCAGACUUCAAUUGGAUGACAGAUUGUGAUCUCACUCUCGUUUUCCUCUGCUGUACCACCAGCAUAAAUGAGAGGAGAAUAUAGGCUUCGGUGUAUUGGUCAGAGGUACCCAGCUACCUGCCAAUAAUUUGUGAAAAUCAUGGGCCAAACUGCAAUUUAGGAAAAGAAAA